GGACUCCAACAUCUGAGUUGCAGUUACCACCGGUUUCCCCUGUAAAUUAGCCUUGUGGAUCAUCAGCUUCUGAGCUAGGAAUAUCUUCUCAAUUGGAAUCUCCAUUCCCAGGUCACCACGUGCCACCAUAAAUGCAUCCGAAUUCAUAAGGAUCUCAUCAAAAUUCAUGACCCCUUCUUGAUUUUCAACCUUAGACAUAAGAAGGAUGUUCUUUGCAUGCUCUCCAAGUAGCUCUCUGACCUCUACCAGGUCUGAACCUUUGCGAACAAAGGAUAGCGCAAUCAUGUCAAUCUUAUUUGGAAUUCCCCAUUGCAGGAUAUCCUCUUCGUCCUUCUCUGUUAAGGUAGGCAGAUCAACAAUUACUCCUGGAAGAUUGACAUUCUUCUUCUCACCCAAAACAGCAGAAUUUUCACAGCGGCAAUGGACAAGUCCAUUUUCCUUGUCACCAGCCAAAACUCUUAGUGAAAUUGAGCCAUCAGAACACAAAAUAACACUUCCUGGCUUGACAUCUUCAGCCAACUUUUUGUAGCUCAUACAGAUCAUAUUCUCAUCACCCUUUAAGCCAUAAUCAGUAGAGAUAAGAAUCUCUUGGCCUUGCUUUAGCUGUACAGGCUUCCCAUCCUUCAAGAACCCUGUUCGAAUUUCUGGCCCCUUAGUAUCCAACAUGACAGCACAAAGAAUGCCAGUGUUGUUCAUGGCAGUUCUGAGAUUGUUAAGGGUUUCUUGAUGAUAGGCAUGAGUUCCAUGAGAGAAGUUGAAGCGAGCAACGCUCAUACCAGCCUUCAAAAGCCGCUCCAAUAUAUCAACAGAUCUUGACUGAGGCCCUAACGUACACACUAUCUUUGUCUUUGGCCUCCUCUGAUCUCCCACCACAACCGAGCCCUGUCUUCCCAAUACCUUCUCCAUUAUCACUACUACGUAUCACUGAUUCAACAAACAAAAACGGAAAAAGAGAGAAGAGGAGAGAGGCUAAAGCACUGGUUUUUAGCAAUGCAGUGAUGGGAAACAAAAGAGGGUUGUUUUUAACUCCAACCGAAAGAUGCUUUGUGAGAGGGUUUUUGAAGGGUUUACGACUCGAAAACACUACAAGGGUUGCUUUGGUUUCUUGGGUUUUCAAUUCUGAUUCUACUUAUAUAUAGGCUUUCAGUCACCGACUAAGGCUAAAGAAAAUUAGAAAACCGUACGUGGAUUGGAGAAAAG
rnacentral:misc_RNA from 1 species